rnacentral:rRNA from 1 species
GAUGAACGCUGGCGGCGUGCCUAAUACAUGCAAGUCGAGCGAACAGACGAGGAUCUUGCUCCUCUGACGUUAGCUGCGGACGGGUGAGUAACACGUGGAUAACCUACCUAUAAGACUGGGAUAACUUCGGGAAACCGGAGCUAAUACCGGAUAAUAUAUUGAACCGCAUGGUUCAAUAGUGAAAGACGGUGUUGCUGUCACUUAUAGAUGGAUCCGCGCGGCAUUAGCUAGUUGGUAAGGUAACGGCCUACCACGGCAACUAUGCGUAGACGACCGCAGGGGGGGAUCGGCGACCUGAGAGCGGAGACGCGGACAUUGCGCCUGCGAGAGGCCGCAGUAGGGAACCUGCGGCAGCAGGCGAAAGCAUGGCGGAGCAAGGGCGCGUGAGAUGUAAAAGUGUCCGGAGCGUGAAACUCUGUUAUUAGGGAAGAACAAAUGUGUAAGUAACUAUGCACGUCUUGACGGUACCUGAUAAGAAAGCCACGGCUAACUACGUG